AACGUGGGCGGGGGUGCUAUACAUGCAAGUCGAGCGCAGGAAGCAAGCAGAUCCCCUUCGGGGGUGACGCUUGUGGAAUGAGCGGCGGACGGGUGAGUAACACGUGGGCAACCUGCCUGUAAGACCGGAAUAACCCCGGGAAACCGGGGCUAAUGCCGGGUAACACCUUCCCUCGCAUGAGGGAGGGUUAAAAGAUGGCUUCUCGCUAUCACUUACAGAUGGGCCCGCGGCGCAUUAGCUAGUUGGUGAGGUAACGGCUCACCAAGGCAACGAUGCGUAGCCGACCUGAGAGGGUGAUCGGCCACACUGGGACUGAGACACGGCCCAGACUCCUACGGGAGGCAGCAGUAGGGAAUCUUCCGCAAUGGACGAAAGUCUGACGGAGCAACGCCGCGUGAACGAUGAAGGUCUUCGGAUCGUAAAGUUCUGUUGUUAGGGAAGAACAAGUGCCGUGCGAAUAGAGCGGCACCUUGACGGUACCUAACGAGGAAGCCCCGGCUAACUACGUGCCAGCAGCCGCGGUAAUACGUAGGGGGCAAGCGUUGUCCGGAAUUAUUGGGCGUAAAGCGCGCGCAGGCGGUUCCUUAAGUCUGAUGUGAAAGCCCACGGCUCAACCGUGGAGGGUCAUUGGAAACUGGGGAACUUGAGGACAGAAGAGGAGAGUGGAAUUCCACGUGUAGCGGUGAAAUGCGUAGAUAUGUGGAGGAACACCAGUGGCGAAGGCGACUCUCUGGUCUGUUUCUGACGCUGAGGUGCGAAAGCGUGGGUAGCAAACAGGAUUAGAUACCCUGGUAGUCCAC
rnacentral:rRNA from 1 species